ACACACACACACAAUCAAAAAUAAACACUGCCUUUCACCAGCACACCAGGGUCGACAUUGCAUGAACCAUAGUGCUCUCUCACUCUAGCGUGCAGCUUCCUAUCUCGGACAUAUGAGCAUGCACACAACAGCCAAACACC